UGAGUUAGCAAGCGAGUCGCUAAAAGAGGAAGAGAGCUGUGAGUGUUUAGACUAAACAAGGAAGAGCCGUCAGAGGCAAGGAUUAAGUGUCUUGCCCGGCAUGUGGACUCUGGGAAGUGGGGGUCGAAUUACCGAGUGGACAACCAUCUCUACCUCCUGAGCCACAGCUACCUACGCCACAGCUAACUACUUAUUAAGAAGCAAAGUUUGAGGGCUCUGUUCCCCUGGGAGUACACUGACCCCUGUCACUAUGCUCAUAGGCAAAAGCAGGAAGCAUGGCUGCUGUCAGGCUGAUUAACACACACUGGCAUUGUGCACAUGCAGGUUUCCAGAAGGAUGAGAUCACCAAGAAAGCAACAAGGCUAUCAAAUGGUCCUCAAGCAUGCUGUGUUGACACCUUAUACUUGAUGAAGAAUAAAUAACACAGCUUUAAUGUUCGCCUGACUUCAGGGGUUGUGUGCGUGUGUGUGUGUGUGUGUUACGAUAAGAUGGCCUCAUGGAUAGAAACCCUGUAACCUUAAAGGAGGAGUAAGAGAGUCUGUAGAAACACAGUUGAUGUUUGAACUCCACACACAAAAACUAGUUGUUUAGAUUGACAGCAGAGAGGACCAUAGGUGUGUAGCUAAGCCAACAAGGAAGCAAAAUUGACCUAGCAGAGCAUUUCAAAUUAUGCAUCAAUCCAAAUAAAUCCACUAGCAAACUCAACUCUUCUUGGCUAUAAAAUCCUUU